UACGGGGGGAGCAAGCGUUGUUCGGAUUUACUGGGCGUAAAGGGCGCGUAGGCGGUCGUGACAAGUCACUUGUGAAAUCUCCGGGCUUAACUCGGAACGGUCAAGUGAUACUGUCGGACUAGAGUACAGAAGGGGCAACUGGAAUUCUCGGUGUAGCGGUGAAAUGCGUAGAUAUCGAGAGGAACACCUGCGGCGAAGGCGGGUUGCUGGGCUGACACUGAGGCGCGACAGCGUGGGGAGCAAAACGG
rnacentral:rRNA from 1 species